rnacentral:rRNA from 1 species
GGAGUUAGCCGGUGCUUCUUCUGUGAGUGAUGUCCUUCCUGCCGGCUAUUAACCCGCAGGCCUUCUUCCUCACUGAAAGUGCUUUACAACCCGAAGGCCUUCUUCACACACGCGGCAUGGCUGGAUCAGGGUUGCCCCCAUUGUCCAAUAUUCCCCACUGCUGCCUCCCGUAGGAGUCUGGGCCGUGUCUCAGUCCCAGUGUGGCUGAUCAUCCUCUCAGACCAGCUACGGAUCGUCGCCUUGGUGAGCCGUUACCUCACCAACCAGCUAAUCCGACAUAGGCUCAUCCGAUAGCGCGAGGCCCGAAGGUCCCCCGNUUUCCCCCGUAGGGCGUAUGCGGUAUUAGCCUGGGUUUCCCCAGGUUAUCCCCCACUACCGGGCAGAUUCCUAUGCAUUACUCACCCGUCCGCCGCUCGCCACCAGGGAGCAAGCUCCCCGUGCUGCCGCUCGACUUGCAUGUGUUAGGCCUGCCGCCAGCGUUCAAUCUGAGCCAGAUCAAACUCUGA